CAGGGUUUGACAUGCUAUUGCACCGCUCUGAGAGGAGCGUCCGAGCAAUCGGCGGUAGCACAGGUGCUGCAUGGCUGUCGUCAGCUCGUGCCGUGAGGUGUUGGGUUAAGUCCCGCAACGAGCGCAACCCUCAUUGCUAGUUGAAUCUCUCUAGCGAGACUGCCACUCCAAAAGUGGAGGAAGGUGGGGAUGACGUCAAGUCAGCACGGCCCCUACGUCCUGGGCGACACACACGCUACAAUGGCUGGGACAACGGGACGCCAACCCGCGAGGGGGAGCCAAUCCCAACAAACCCAGUCUCAGUUCGGAUGGGAGGCUGCAACUCGCCUCCCUGAAGUGGGAGUUGCUAGUAACCGUGAGUCAGCACAUCACGGUGAAUACGUUCCC
rnacentral:rRNA from 1 species